rnacentral:rRNA from 1 species
CCUACGGGAGCAGCAGUGGGGAAUAUUGCACAAUGGGGGAAACCCUGAUGCAGCGACGCCGCGUGAGUGAAGAAGUAUUUCGGUAUGUAAAGCUCUAUCAGCAGGAACGAGACAAGACGGUACCUGACCAAGAAGCCCCGGCUAACUACGUGCCAGCAGCCGCGGUAAUACGUAGGGGGCAAGCGUUAUCCGGUAUUACUGGGUGUAAAGGGAGCGUAGACGGUUAAGUAAGUCUGGAGUGAAAGGCCCGGGCCCAACCCCGGGACUGCUCUUGAAACUAGUGAACUUGAGUGCAGGAGAGGUGGGCGGAAUUCCUGGUGGAGCGGUGAAAUGCGUAGAGAUUAGGAGGAACACCAGUGGCGAAGGCGGCUUACUGGACUGUAACUGACGUUGAGGCUCGAAAGCGUGGGGAGCAAACAGGAUUAGAUACCCCUGUAGUC